rnacentral:rRNA from 1 species
GAUGAACGCUGGCGGCGUGCCUAAUACAUGCAAGUCGAGCGAAUGGAUUAAGAGCUUGCUCUUAUGAAGUUAGCGGCGGACGGGUGAGUAACACGUGGGUAACCUGCCCAUAAGACUGGGAUAACUCCGGGAAACCGGGGCUAAUACCGGAUAACAUUUUGAACCGCAUGGUUCGAAAUUGAAAGGCGGCUUCGGCUGUCACUUAUGGAUGGACCCGCGUCGCAUUAGCUAGUUGGGGAGGUCACGGCUCACCAAGGCAACGAUGCGUAGCCGACCUGAGAGGGUGAUCGGCCACACUGGGACUGAGACACGGCCCAGACUCCUACGGGAGGCAGCAGUAGGGAAUCUUCCGCAAUGGACGAAAGUCUGACGGAGCAACGCCGCGUGAGUGAUGAAGGCUUUCGGGUCGUAAAUCUCUGUUGUUAGGGAAGAACAAGUGCUAGUUGAAUAAGCUGACACCUUGACGGUACCUAACCAGAAAGCCACGGCUAACUACGUGCCAGCCGCCGCGGUAA